UACAGAGGAUGCAAGCGUUAUCCGGAAUUAUUGGGCGUAAAGCGUCUGUAGGUGGCUUUUUAAGUCCGCCGUCAAAUCCCAGGGCUCAACUCUGGACAGGCGGUGGAAACUACCAAGCUGGAGUACGGUAGGGGCAGAGGGAAUUUCCGGUGGAGCGGUGAAAUGCGUAGAGAUCGGAAAGAACACCAGCGGCGAAAGUGCUCUGCUGGGCCGACACUGACACUGAGAGACGAAAGCUAGGGGAGCGAAUGGG
rnacentral:rRNA from 1 species